GGAGGGUACAGCUCAGUGGUAGAGCGCAUGCUUAGCAUGCACAAGGUCCUGGGUUCAAUCCCCAGCACGUCCA
rfam:Camelus ferus unplaced genomic scaffold scaffold1838, whole genome shotgun sequence.